rnacentral:tRNA from 1 species
UACCCUCGGCGGGAUUCGAACCCGCAAUCCCCUGGUUUAGGAGACAGAUGCCUUACCCGUUAGGCCACGAGGGC